rnacentral:rRNA from 1 species
UGGGGAAUUUUGGACAAUGGGCGAAAGCCUGAUCCAGCAAUGCCGCGUGUGUGAAGAAGGCCUUCGGGUUGUAAAGCACUUUUGUCCGGAAAGAAAUCCUUGGCUCUAAUACAGUCGGGGGAUGACGGUACCGGAAGAAUAAGCACCGGCUAACUACGUGCCAGCAGCCGCGGUAAUACGUAGGGUGCAAGCGUUAAUCGGAAUUACUGGGCGUAAAGCGUGCGCAGGCGGUUUGCUAAGACCGAUGUGAAAUCCCCGGGCUCAACCUGGGAACUGCAUUGGUGACUGGCAGGCUAGAGUAUGGCAGAGGGGGGUAGAAUUCCACGUGUAGCAGUGAAAUGCGUAGAGAUGUGGAGGAAUACCGAUGGCGAAGGCAGCCCCCUGGGCCAAUACUGACGCUCAUGCACGAAAGCGUGGGGAGCAAACAGGAUUAGAUACCCUGGUAGUCCACGCCCUAAACGAUGUCAACUAGUUGUUGGGGAUUCAUUUCCUUAGUAACGUAGCUAACGCGUGAAGUUGACCGCCUGGGGAGUACGGUCGCAAGAUUAAAACCUCAAAGGAAUUGACGGGGUCAUAGCUGUUUCCU